UGGGGAAUUUUGGACAAUGGGCGAAAGCCUGAUCCAGCAAUGCCGCGUGUGUGAAGAAGGCCUUCGGGUUGUAAAGCACUUUUGUCCGGAAAGAAAUCCUUGGCUCUAAUACAGUCGGGGGAUGACGGUACCGGAAGAAUAAGCACCGGCUAACUACGUGCCAGCAGCCGCGGUAAUACGUAGGGUGCAAGCGUUAAUCGGAAUUACUGGGCGUAAAGCGUGCGCAGGCGGUUUUGCUAAGACCGAUGUGAAAUCCCCGGGCUCAACCUGGGAACUGCAUUGGGUGACUGGCAGGCUAGAGUAUGGCAGAGGGGGGUUAGAAUUCCACGUGUAGCAGUGAAAUGCGUAGAGAUGUGGAGGAAUACCGAUGGCGAAGGCAGCCCCC
rnacentral:rRNA from 1 species